UGAGCUUUAGUUCAUUUAGAAUUUUUGACUGUUAAUCAAAAGGAGGUGGAGAAACCAGGCUUAA
rnacentral:tRNA from 1 species